rnacentral:rRNA from 1 species
AUUGAACGCUGGCGGCAUGCCUUACACAUGCAAGUCGAACGGCAGCACGGACUUCGGUCUGGUGGCGAGUGGCGAACGGGUGAGUAAUACAUCGGAACGUGCCUAGUAGUGGGGGAUAACUACUCGAAAGGGUGGCUAAUACCGCAUGAGACCUGAGGGUGAAAGCGGGGGAUCGCAAGACCUCGCGCAAUUGGAGCGGCCGAUGCCCGAUUAGCUAGUUGGUGAGGUAAAGGCUCACCAAGGCGACGAUCGGUAGCUGGUCUGAGAGGACGACCAGCCACACUGGGACUGAGACACGGCCCAG